UCGUACGACGAGUUUGAUCCUGGCUCAGAACGAACGCUGGCGGCAUGCCUAACACAUGCAAGUCGAACGAGACCUUCGGGUCUAGUGGCGCACGGGUGCGUAACACGUGGGAAUUUGCCUCGGGGUAUGGAAUAACUCAGGGAAACUUGAGCUAAUACCAUAUAAUGUCUUCGGACCAAAGAUUUAUCGCCCUGAGAUAAGCCCGCGUAGGAUUAGCUAGUUGGUGAGGUAAAGGCUCACCAAGGCGACGAUCCUUAGCUGGUCUGAGAGGAUGAUCAGCCACACUGGGACUGAGACACGGCCCAGACUCCUACGGGAAGCAGCAGUGGGGAAUAUUGGACAAUGGGCGAAAGCCUGAUCCAGCAAUGCCGCGUGAGUGAUGAAGGCCUUCGGGUUGUAAAGCUCUUUUACUCGGGACGAUAAUGACGGUACCGAGAGAAUAAGCCCCGGCUAACUCCGUG
rnacentral:rRNA from 1 species